UUGAGGCGUGGCUUCCGGAGCUAACGCGUUAAGUCGACCGCCUGGGGAGUACGGCCGCAAGGUUAAAACUCAAAUGAAUUGACGGGGGCCCGCACAAGCGGUGGAGCAUGUGGUUUAAUUCGAUGCAACGCGAAGAACCUUACCUACUCUUGACAUCCAGAGAAGUUUGCAGAGAUGCGAACGUGCCUUCGGGAACUCUGAGACAGGUGCUGCAUGGCUGUCGUCAGCUCGUGUUGUGAAAUGUUGGGUUAAGUCCCGCAACGAGCGCAACCCUUAUCCUUUGUUGCCAGCGGUCCGGCCGGGAACUCAAAGGAGACUGCCAGUGAUAAACUGGAGGAAGGUGGGGAUGACGUCAAGUCAUCAUGGCCCUUACGAGUAGGGCUACACACGUGCUACAAUGGCAUAUACAAAGAGAAGCGACCUCGCGAGAGCAAGCGGACCUCAUAAAGUAUGUCGUAGUCCGGAUUGGAGUUUGCAACUCGACUCCAUGAAGUCGGAAUCGCUAGUAAUCGUGGAUCAGAAUGCCACGGUGAAUACGUUCCCGGGCCUUGUACACACCGCCCGUCACACCAUGGGAGUGGGUUGCAAAAGAAGUAGGUAGCUUAACCUUCGGGAGGGCGCUUACCACUUUGUGAUUCAUGACUGGGGUGAAGUCGUAACAAGGUAACCAAUCUCUAGAGGAUCCCC
rnacentral:rRNA from 1 species